rnacentral:ncRNA from 1 species
GUGUCGGAUUGUUCACCCGCUAAUAGGGAACGUGAGCUGGGUUUAGACCGUCGUGAGACAGGUUAGUUUUACCCUACUGAUGAAUGGAUAUUGCGACAGUAAUCUAGGUUAGUACGAGAGGAACCCCUAGAUCAGAUAAUUGGUAAAUACGGUUAGCUGAACAGCUAGUGCCGUGAAGCUACCAUCUGUAGGAUUAUGACUGAACGCCUCUAAGUCAGAAUCCAUGCUGGAAAGCAAUGUCUAAUCAAUAAUAAAUGCAAACGAAUAGGCUUUUGCCAUAGUUCAAACAAUGGGCUUCUCUCUGCUUAUCGGAAUAGAUAGGUUAGGUGAGCCUGCAUCGCAAUUUCAAAUUAUUAUUGACACAAAUCUUCUGUAGACGACUUAACUUAGAUCAGGGUACUGUAAGAUUGGAAGUAGGCUUGUCUUACGACCUUCUGAGGUUCAUCCCUUGAUCUACGAUUUGU